ACUUUAUAUAUUUCUGUAGCUCAGUUGAUUUAAGUUGUAAAAACUGAUCUAGGGGGUUAUAUUUUGUUGGGGAGAUGUGAGUAUAAAUAACUAUAACUGCUUAAGUUGAAAACAGAAAUAUUUGAGUAGAGGCUGAAUGAUCCUUCUUAAAGAUUAAAAGAUCAAGUU
rnacentral:rRNA from 1 species